rnacentral:lncRNA from 1 species
UUUUUUUUCUUUUCUUUUUUUUUUUUCCUCCGUAUUGGCUUGAUUUUCUCGUCACUAUGUCAACCCUAACCUCCCCUUCAGGUGUGUGAAACAUCUUCUCCAUACUCCCAAACAAUGAAAUGCAUGUCAAUUUUUAUCUUUAUUCCCUUGCCCAGACUUCUACAUCUGAUGAGCCACUGUCAUGCUGGGGUGUACCUUUAUCAUUUUAGUGGAAUCUCAGGAGAAAGCAAAGUAAGUGCCUGUGUUGACUUUCUUUCAGAUCCUCUCUCACGUGCCUCAGUGCCUUCACACCUGCCAUUUUCUCUUCCUCAAAUCUCUUUCCUAUUUCCCCUUUGCCUAAUCUCUUCUGAUCCUCAAAUUUGAGUUUAAAAGUCACUACUUCCAAGGCAUUCCCUGAUUUCCCAACCUAUCGUCCUCAUUAUACUUCAUAAUAUUUGGUACUUUUUCCUGCACAGCACUUAUCAUAUGUCAGUGCAGCACAGUAAUAACUUGAAAUGUGUUUUUUUCCCUCCACAACUUAUACAUGACCUUUUCUCUAAUCAGAUACAUCCAUUUACUCAAAGACAAGUAGAAUUUUUAUGAAGGGAGUGACAAGAGCAAGAAACAUUUAAUGUUCAGUUUUUUGACUUUUAAUAGAGGCUUGUGAGAAUUAAAAGGGCAGGUCGUGAUGAUGCGGGUGGAGAGCAGAAGUGAUGCUACAACCCGAUAAGAGAUGCUGGGGACCAGGUGAAGAAGAAAUAUGGGGUCAGCAUCAGGAAACUGUUAGGUACCAUCCUUGGCCAGCACCACGAAGCCUUGGGAGGGAGCAGCAACAUACAGACCAGAAUGGUACAACAAAUAUUUGACAAUCUGAUGCUAUUAUUCAUUAGUAUCUAAACUGACACAUAAACCAAAAAUUAAGAUUAGAUUCUCUUUUAUUGCCUAAGUUAUCUAGAGUAUAAAGCGACUUACCCCAAAGCCUAAGUUGUAGCAAAAGCCAUUUGUUAAACCAUUCUAACAAUUCCCAAAGCAUUUGUUGGGUUAUAGCAAUUGAUAGCGUGCAUUUGUAUUUAAUGCAGCUGUUGCUCUCUGAGGAAGCUUCACCUCCCCUGGUGGUGUCACUUCUCUGAUUUCAGCUGCAACUGAGGUCGUUGUUUCCUGUGCACUCUGUCUGCACCCCAACACAAGAGCAUGCUCAUCUCUUCAUUAUUCUGCCUCAGGGCUUUCCCUGAAGCCAAAGGAGUUCACUUGGUCCUUGUCGUGGAAGUAGCCAGGAGUGAACACCCCAGAGACAACUUCAGACAAUGGUUAAAAAAAAAAGGGCCAAUGGGAAACAACACCCCAGAUGCCCAUCCUUUGGGAAGACAACUUUGAGGCGUGUUCUAUGUGGUUUUCCAAAGGGUCCCCAGCAGGAUCGGGACCCAGUUGUCCAUAGUGAAAACCAGGACAAUAUCCCAUCUGCUGGCUUCUCUUCCUCUCCAUCUCAUUCUUCCUGCUUCUUCCUUUCUGCUUUCUGGGAUCACUUUUCAAACACACCACCUGUACCCAAGUCCUUGUCUUAGGCUCUGUUUUGGAGAACAACUCAAACAAAGAUGCUCUCUGAAUUGCAUCCUAAAAUGAAUCAUGCUUUUUUUUUUUUUUUUGUCUUUUUAGGGCCAUGCUCACAUCAUGUGGAGGUUCCCAGGCUAGGGGUCUAAUGGGAGCCAGAGCUGCUGGCCUACACCACAGCCACAGCAACGCCAGAUCCUUAACCCACUGAGCGAUGCCAGGGAUCAAACCCACAACCUCAUGGUUCCUAGUCGGAUUCAUUUCCGCUGUGCCACGAAGGGAACUCCGAGUCAUGGUUUGACAUCAGAAAUUGCAUCGAACUCCUUCAACCACUUCCCCUUUGCAGUGAUAAUCAUUAGGUGACUGGAGAGGCUGUGAGAACCUCAGUGGCAAUUUAUGCAGCUGCCUGCAUCUCAGCUCAGCUGUGUCCACUGCUCUCCAGAUCUCUUUAUCACUCUUGCCGGCUUUUCUCAUGCUACCAGGGGUAGGCAAGCCAGAGGGAGGAGGAGACGGGAGGAGGAAAGGAACAGGAGUAAGAGAGAUGAGGAGCUCCAUUGGAAGAUGGAACCCACAGAAAGGGGAGAACAAAAAAAAAAAAAAAAAAAAAAAAAAAAGAAGAGGGAAAAGAGAAGAACACACAAAUGGCAGUUAUUGACAGGUAGGAGAAUGCUUGGCCACUCACGUUGCCCAAAGGCAGGUGGGGCUCGUACUGGGGUUCCCUCUACCUGUCUGUCCUGGUGACUGAGAGAGUGGUAUCCAUGGAGGGGACAGGGCAAUGGGCUAGUUCCUCUGCCCAGAGAUCAGGUGCAGGGAAGAAGAGGUGACAAAGAGGACACAUGCCGUCAUCCAUUGGGUCACAGGGUUUCCUAGCCAUGAAAGAGGGUCCUAGGCAGCACUGUUCUACAGUAGCUGCCCCCGACCAAAGGAUUUGGUGGUAAAUAAAGGUGAUGAAAACUGCUGGAGGGAUGUGGCCACACAAAUUCCAGGCAAUAGUCCCUGGAAGCCUCUUCAACCUCUACCAAAACCUGUACCUACUUCUCCCCUUGGGCAGAAUUAGGCAUUCCUUUGGCAGCUUGAAGCAUAGCUCCUCCUCAGCUCAGCUGUGGAGCUGCCACCCCCAUCAAGGUUUUAGGAACUGGAGUGGUGGAUGUGGUCAUGAACUAGACCCAGGGCAGAGGCGGAGGGGCGGGGAGGGUCCUUUCACAAUAUACACAUACAUCAGAUCACCGCCAUGCACAUUUUCUGUAUCUGACAAUUUCGUAUGUCAAUCACACUUCAAUAAAGCUAACAGCAACAGCAACAAUAACUUUAGAAACUGAAGGUCACCUUUCAACAUCUGAAAGAAAUAGUCUGAAGUGCGUAGCAAGUUCUGGUGAUCUAUGCUCAGAAAAACAAGUCUCAAUUCUAUAAUGUAUAGGAUUUCUGUGAUAAAACCAUGAGUGCUGGGAUGCAUAUGACUUAUUUAGUUGUAUUGCAUAUUGCAGUUAUUCAUAUUAUUUCCAACUGGCAUGAAAAUGUUUCUGUAUUUUUUUUUUUUUUUUUUUUUUUUUUUGUCUUCUUGCUAUUUCUUGGGCCCCUCCCACGGCAUAUGGAGGUUCCCAGGCUAGGGGUCAAAUCGGAGCUGGAGCCUCCGGUCUGCACCACAGCCACAGCAACGCGGGAUCCGAGCCACGUCUGCAACCUACACCACAGCUCAUGGCAACGCCGGAUCCUUAACCCACUGAGCAAGGCCAGGGACCGAACCCGCAACCUCAUGGUUCCUAGUCGGAUUCAUUAACCACUGCGCCACGACGGGAACUCCUGUUUCUGUAUUUUAUUUUAUUAUUAAUUUUCUGUCUUUUUAGGGCUGCACCUGUGGCAUAUGGAGAUUCCCAGACUAGGGGUCGAGUUGGAGCUGCAGCCACAGCAAUGCAGGAUCUGAGUCACAUCUGCAGCCUGCACCACAGCUCACAGCAACGCCAGAUCUUUAACCCCUGAGUGAGAUCAGGGAUCGAACAUGUGUCCUCACGGAUGUUAGAUUCGUUUCCACUGAGCCAUGACAGGAACUCCUGUUUCUGUAUUUUAAUAACUAGUGCAGUCAAACAAGUGAACUCACAGAUGAUAGGUCCCGCCUGCAAACUUUUAUCUCCAUUCCAGGACAGUCCUGCGUAGCCCAGUGGAUAAGCCAGAAGAUAGAGUUCUGUCCAACCCUAAGGCUUUAUCAAGACCCAUCCAAACUUCAACAGGUGGAAUUCACUCACCCCAUCCCUUCCGACCUUCAGAAAUAGAGGUCAGGGACUUGCUUCUGCUGCUGUGUAACAAAUCAUUCCCAAACUAAUGACUUAAACAUUUAUUAUCACCUCUAAUGGUGUCAGGCUUGAUAGCCUUCGCUGAGUAGUUCUCACUUGGGGUCCCUCAUGGGCGUAGGGCAGAAUGUCAGCUGGGCUAGAGAUUCAAAGACUCGCCUGGGAACUCCCAAGAUGGUUUCUUCUCCCAGAUGUCUAUUCCCUGGCUGGAGAUCCCUGAACACUUGGAGGUUGUCUGGGCAUUUAUUUCCCCACGUGGCCUUUCCACAUAGCUAGCUCAAGCUUUCCAACAGCAUGGUGGACUCACAUCAACGGCUGGUUUACCUCCGGGUGAGCCUACCAAGAGACCAGUUGUAAGGCUUCUUCCCAUCUAGCUUUGAAGCUAUACAGUGUAACUUCUGCCACAUCCUCUUGGUUAGCCAAGGUUUAAGGUGACAGGAUAAUACAAGAGGCUGAACCCUGGGAAGCACAAGUUAUCAGGGGCCAUUCUGGGGACUAUGUAGCACAGGCCUUGAUGUUCAAGGGCGUGAGUGGUAAUGAGAAACAGGGAAAGACUAGAUAUUACCAAAACCUACCCACUUUGCUUAUAGAUUUACUUAUGUGAUCAUGUGUUUGAUUAAUUCUGUCAAGAACAGGGGUUGGGAAAUUUUUCUGUACUAGUAAAUAUUUUGGGUUUUGCUACCCAUGCCGUCUGUAUUCAAUUCUGCCCUUCUAGUGCAAAAGCAACCAGAAACAGUACAUAAAUGGGUGGGUGGGGAGUUCCCAUUUUGGCUCAGUGGGUUAAGAACCCAACUAGUAUCCACAAGGAUGCAGGUUCCAUCCCUGGCCUCGCUCAUUAGGUUGAAUAUCCCAUGUUGCUGUGAG